rnacentral:rRNA from 1 species
GACGAACGCUGGCGGCGUGCCUAACACAUGUAAGUCGAGCGGCGAUGAUGUGAGGAAGUUUUCGGAUGGAAUCACAUUAUUUUAGCGGCGGACGGGUGAGUAACGCGUGAGCGACCUACCUUGCACAGGGCGAUAACGGACCGAAAGGUUCACUAAUACCUCAUGAGACCACGGUCUUGCAUGACACAGGGGUCAAAGGAGGAAUCCGGUGCAAGACGGGCUCGCGUCCGAUUAGGUAGUUGGUGGGGUAACAGCCCACCAAGCCUAUGAUCGGUAGCCUACCUGAGAGGGUGAGCGGCCACAUUGGAACUGAGAUACGGUCCAAACUCCUACGGGAGGCAGCAGUGGGGAAUAUUGGGCAAUGGGGGAAACCCUGACCCAGCAACGCCGCGUGAAGGAAGAAGGUUUUCGGAUUGUAAACUUCUGUCCUUGGUGAAGAGAAGAAGACGGUAGCCAAGGAGGAAGCCCCGGCUAACUACGUGCCAGCCGCCGCUGUAA